CGGCGACUUGGCGGGCGCGGUCGUCGUGGGCGGCGUGGUCGGCCGGGUCGUCGGCGGCGGUGGCAGGGCGGUGACCGGCGCGCCGGUCGUCGUC
rnacentral:tRNA from 1 species